rnacentral:rRNA from 1 species
GGGUCAGUAGGUUGGUCGUGCCACCGGUACGUACUGGUCUCACUGAUUCCUCCUUCCUGAAGAACCGUAAUGCCAUUAAUUUGGUGUUGCGGGGAAACAGGACUGUUACUUUGAAAAAAUUAGAGUGUUUAAAGCAAGCUAACGCUUGAAUACAUUAGCAUGGAAUAAUGGAAUAGGACGAUCGAUCCUAUUUUGUUGGUUUCUGGGAUUGACGUA